rnacentral:rRNA from 1 species
UACAGGGGGUGCAAACGUUGUUCGGAAUUACUGGGCGUAAAGCGUGUGUAGGCGGCCGCGCAAGUCGGAUGUGAAAGCCCCGGGCUCAACCCGGGAAGUGCACCCGAUACUGCAUGGCUCGAGUACUGGAGAGGUUGGUGGAAUUCCACGUGUAGCAGUGAAAUGCGUAGAGAUGUGGAGGAACACCGAUGGCGAAGGCAGCCUCCUGGGCCAGCACUGACGCUCAUGCACGAAAGCGUGGGGAGCGAACAGG